GAGGUAUAUGGUUGGAGUUACCUCUGCUGUGACCCUGUUUUGGGAACAUAGCUUGUAGAGAAGGCUGGGUGUUUGAAUGCUUUACUGUCUAUAGCAUUUUUAUACUAGUUCUUCUGUGAGUGUUUUUAGAUUGCUCCCUGUGGUUUGUCUGUUUUGUGGCCCUGAAUUGCAUGCUGAGCUUAGGGAUGCCUGUGCUCUUCGGCUGUAGAACUCAGGGGCUUUUUUCCUUUCAUAUUGCCCAGUUCCAUUAGAUAAAAACAAACAUGAAUUGAGCCUUUAAUUUCUGUUUCAUUUAAGUUAGAGGGAGAGGAUGUUGAUUUAAAGCAGAGGAAGUGGUAUCACCGCCACUUAAUAAGCACCUUCUUGUGUAUUCUCAUUAGCCUAUGAUCCCUAUAAUCAACAAAAAGCAGUAAGUGGUUUGUAACUUUAAUAGAGGCAGCAGUUAAAGUACUCACAGAAACUGGAAUUAUUCUGGAGGUAUCUGUCCUUGUUGGCAUCCAAGGUAGGUGCUUAAAACUAGAUACUUUAGAUACUCUUAGCAAUUGGCUCCUUAUCAGUCUGAGCCUUUGUUUGCAGUUUGUAUGCACAGAUUUGUGAUAAGUAUCUAAACCUACAGUGAGCAAUUCACUUGCUGGCUGCAUAGUGUCUUCCAGAGUUUCAAAAGUAGCCUCUGAAUUUGCGUUUCUUGGCAGUUUCCAGUGAUAGGGAAAGGGAUAGUGAUAGGGCCUAUAACUUUAAAAGCACUUUUGGUUGUCUCUGUUUCCAAGUCUAACACUGGAAAGCCUUUUGCUGUUGGGUGACCUGUCUCAUGCCUGGAGGGAAGGGUCUUUCCGGUUCUCAGCAGUCACUUCCCAAGCCUUGUGCCGGUUUUCAGCCUUCUCACCUUCUUGGUCUCUUGCUCUGUGAAAAUAUCUAUUGUGGCUUUCCCCUCCUUUCUCGUUCAGGCAGAAGGUGGUGUCAGCAGCAUUUACAUAGUGAUAGAAGUCUACGGUCAAGACUUGCAUCCAAAGUUAGGGAAGGUUCUCCUCAGCAAAGAGCAAUGGUUCAAAGACUAACAGGCACUUUCCAUAUGCUUCAAGAGAAGACCGUGAGACCUGGUACUGGGAAAAUUAGCUCUGCCUGUCUUACUUGCAGUCUGCAGUACAGUCACAGUACACUGCCCAGUCAGGAUUUUCCAUAAAGAUGAACCAACCAGUGCGAGAGGCUCGAGAUGCAGGUGGCACUAAGUAGUGAUGCUGUUGAGGGACAGCAUUAGAUGAUUUAAUCAGGUGACUCUCAAAGCAGAGACAAAAUACAGUCAAAAAUUAAUAUUUAUCUGAUUUUCAGUUUCUCUUAUAGCACGUCUUUCUGUUAUACUUAUUGCGGCAGAGCUGAUGUGCAUCUUAGGAUCAGUGCAUAAGCAGUGCCAAAAUAUUACUUCAGCCUAUCCGUUCAAUGGCCUCUGCAAGCUGCUGAAAACCUUUUUAUGAUCUAUACGUGACUCAUGCACUUUCUUGGCCCCUUCUGUGCUAGGUACUUGAGUAAGAUACAGCUUUGCUGGAGCUGAAGCAGAUCGAGAAGAUGAUCCUGCAGCCUCUGCUGAUGCCCACAUUGCCAGUUUCUUUUGCUAGCUCUGUGUAAACGGUGGAUGAGAAGAAGAUGGCCUUCCUAAUGAAAAGUAUGUUGAGCAACCAGGUGAAGAAUUUGGGACUUGGAGGUGGAGGGGAAGAAAACAAAGAAGAAAGCACACCUUCUGACCCAGCGGCAGCCGCAGGAAUGACCCGAGAGGAGUAUGAGGAAUAUCAAAAGCAAGUGGUUGAGGAGAAGAUGGAAAGAGAUGCAGCAUUUGCACAAAAAAAGGCAGAGAGAGCCUGUCUGAGGGUUCAUCUGAGGGAGAAGUACAGGCUCCCUAAGGUAAGCCAACAGCUCCUGGUCUCAUCUAGUUCAGUGAACGAUCCUGAAACAGCUUCGUUCAGAGCUGCUGACACAGGUCUGAAAUCAGCACGCGGCCUUCGUCCGUGGGAUUCCCGCUGCGGCUCAGAAGAGGCGGAGGAGACCAGAGCCAUGGUCUGCUGGAAAGAGUCUUGUAAUCCUUCUCUCUACUGUCAGGUCUGAGGUGGGAGGCUAGGCAGGGUGAAUCCCCGGUCUGAUCCGGUCUGGCAAUUAGUAUACAUGUUCUUAACUCGGCAAUCUACAAUGGUUAAAUAAAACAACUAAAAGCAAAUAAAAAACCUGAAAAGUC